UCGAGAAUCUUCCGCAAUGCGCGCAAGCGUGACGGAGCGACGCCGCGUGGGCGAUGAAGGCCUUCGGGUUGUAAAGCCCUGUUGCCUGAUAUGAAUGCCAGACGGUGAAUAGUUGUUCUGGUUGACGUUAACGGGCGAGGAAGCACCGGCUAAAUACGUGCCAGCAGCCGCGGUAAUACGUAUGGUGCAAACGUUGUUCGGAAUCACUGGGCAUAAAGAGCACGUAGGCGGUUCUGUAAGUCCGACUGUGAAAUCCCUCGGCUUAACCGAGGAACUGCACCGGAUACUGCAGAACUAGAGUGCAGGAGGGGAGAGUGGAAUUCCUGGUGGAGCGGUGAAAUGCGUAGAUAUCAGGAGGAACGCCGGUGGCGAAAGCGACUCUCUGGACUGCAACUGACGCUGAGGUGCGAAAGCCAGGGGAGCGAACGGGAUUAGAUACCCCCGUAGUCC
rnacentral:rRNA from 1 species